rnacentral:rRNA from 1 species
CCCUUAGAUGUUCUGGGCUGCACGCGCGCUACACUGACGCACGCAACAGGUGCCUGCUCCGAGAGGACUGGGUAAUCAUUUGAGUGUGCGUCGUGAUGGGGAUAGAAUAUUGUAAUUAUUCCUCUUCAACGAGGAAUUCCUAGUAAGCGCCAGUCAGCAGCUUGCGCUGAUUACGUCCCUGCCCUUUGUACACACCGCCCGUCGCUCCUACCGAUGGGUGAUCCGGUGAAUGAUUCGGACUUCAGCGGCUCCCCUGGGGUGCGCCGGAGAAAGUUUUGUGAACCUUAUCACUUGGAGGAAGGAGAAGUCGUAACA